rnacentral:tRNA from 1 species
GGCCCCGUCGUCUAGUGGUUAGGACACAGCCCUUUCAAGGCUGCGACGCGGGUUCGAGUCCCGUCGGGGUCA